GACGAACGCUGGCGGCGUGCUUAACACAUGCAAGUCGAGCGGUAAGGCCCUUUCGGGGGUACACGAGCGGCGAACGGGUGAGUAACACGUGGGUGACCUGCCCUCAGCUCUGGGAUAAGCCUGGGAAACUGGGCCUAAUACCGGAUAUGACUCCAUGACGCAUGUUGUGGGGUGGAAAGCCUUGUGCGGCUGAGGAUGGGCCCGCGGCCUAUCAGCUUGUUGGUGGGGUGANGGCCUACCAAGGCGACGACGGGUAGCCGGCCUGAGAGGGCGACCGGCCACACUGGGACUGAGACACGGCCCAGACUCCUACGGGAGGCAGCAGUGGGGAAUCUUGCGCAAUGGGCGAAAGCCUGACGCAGCGACGCCGCGUGAGGGAUGACGGCCUGGUGUAAC
rnacentral:rRNA from 1 species